GACGAACGCUGGCGGCGUGCUUAACACAUGCAAGUCGAACGGAGAGGCCUCAGCUUGCUGGGGUACUCGAGUGGCGAACGGGUGAGUAACACGUGGGUGAUCUGCCUUGCACUCUGGGAUAAUCUGGUGAAACUGGGUCUAAUACCGGAUGUGAACGUCCUUUAGUGUGGUGGUUGGCAAGUUUUUUCGGUGCAAGAUGAGCUCGCGGCCUAUCAGCUUGUUGGUGGUGUAAUGGCCUACCAAGGCGUCGACGGGUAGCCGGCGUGAGAGGGUGUACGGCCACAUUGGGACUGAGAUACGGCCCAGACUCCUACGGGAGGCAGCAGCGGGGAAUAUUGCACAAUGGGCGGAAGCCUGAUGCAGCGACGCCGCGUGGGGGAUGACGGCGUUCGGGUUGUAAACUCCUUUCGACAGGGACGAAGCAUUUUGUGACGGUACCUGUAUAAGAAGCCCCGGCUAACUACGUG
rnacentral:rRNA from 1 species